rnacentral:rRNA from 1 species
GACGAACGCUGGCGGCGUGCCUAAUACAUGCAAGUCGAGCGAGCUUGCCUAGAUGAAUUUGGUGCUUGCACCAAAUGAAACUAGAUACAAGCGAGCGGCGGACGGGUGAGUAACACGUGGGUAACCUGCCCAAGAGACUGGGAUAACACCUGGAAACAGAUGCUAAUACCGGAUAACAACACUAGACGCAUGUCUAGAGUUUAAAAGAUGGUUCUGCUAUCACUCUUGGAUGGACCUGCGGUGCAUUAGCUAGUUGGUAAGGUGACGGCUUACCAAGGCAAUGAUGCAUAGCCGAGUUGAGAGACUGAUCAGCCACAUUGGGACUGAGACACGGCCCAAACUCCUACGGGAGGCAGCAGUAGGGAAUCUUCCACAAUGGACGCAAGUCUGAUGGAGCAACGCCGCGUGAGUGAAGAAGGGUUUCGGCUCGUAAAGCUCUGUUGGUAGUGAAGAAAGAUAGAGGUAGUAACUGGCCUUUAUUUGACGGUAAUUACUUAGAAAGUCACGGCUAACUACGUGCCAGCAGCCGCGGUAAUACGUAGGUGGCAAGCGUUGUCCGGAUUUAUUGGGCGUAAAGCGAGUGCAGGCGGUUCAAUAAGUCUGAUGUGAAAGCCUUCGGCUCAACCGGAGAAUUGCAUCAGAAACUGUUGAACUUGAGUGCAGAAGAGGAGAGUGGAACUCCAUGUGUAGCGGUGGAAUGCGUAGAUAUAUGGAAGAACACCAGUGGCGAAGGCGGCUCUCUGGUCUGCAACUGACGCUGAGGCUCGAAAGCAUGGGUAGCGAACAGG